UGGGUAUUGUCAAUUUUUUUCCAGAUAAAGGCUUGUGGUUUGUGAGCCCUGCCUUCAUUUGUCCUUUGUCAUGUCAUGAACAGAAUAUGAUUGUCAUUGUUGACAUUAUCCAUUCCUAUCUGCAAUUGCACUUUUUUGUGGCCAGAUGGUUGCGAUUGUGCUGAAAGGAAAUAAUGCAACUAUUUAAAAGCCAUAAUUGAUUUCACUGAAAUUUUAUUGUUACUUAUAGAUUGAUGACUCAGUUAAGGGUAUGUUUACUCUUGAUUUCUCCAUUCAAAAGGAUGCCUUAAUAUAUAAUAGUCUCUUUCAAACACAACAACUUUUAUGCUGACUGUAAUUUUAAUGCAAAGUAAGAAAUAACAAGUUUCUUCAUGGCCAAAUGACAGUUGUUCGAUUAUUAGUUGGUGUGUGUGGAGAGACAUCUGUCUACACAUAUAGAUUUUGGUAUGCUAAGGUUUCUACUCUGGUUAGCUCGUCAUGUACUCGUAGAAUAAUGUUUGUUUGUCACUUGUCAGUGCAUGACACCAUGUAAGAAAGUAUUUUUACCUUUUCUCUGAUUCUUAAGUGACCUCGUAUCCUCUCUUGCAUUAGACUGAUAAUUUUUAUGUGCCAUUGGAUUUUCGGGUGGUUUACAAAUUUCAGAUGGUUAAUCUAAUAUCGCUUCAUGCUAUCAUCACUGCAUUAGUCUGAACAAUCAACUUCAAAUGCUUUUUGUGUAUAUGGGUGGUUCUUCUGAAUGUUCUUAACUUUAUAUCAUCUUCUCUGAGCAAAACGAGAAGUUGUUUUGUUUCUUUGAAAGAUCAGAUCCAAGUUUUAAUGAGUGCUGAUGGUAUGUUUAACAUAGCACAAUAUUCUUUGGCAAUCUGAGGUUAAUUGGAUCAUAUCAAUGAUAGAUUCUGGAUCUACAGUUCAUUGGAUCCAUGGCAUCUGCUGGAUCAAAUGAUGGAUGUAACACAUCUUCAUUGUAAAAGUUACUUUGCCUCAGAGUUUCCAAUUUUUUGUAGAAUAAACAGCGGACCAAGAGUAUGGAACCAUAGGUGACUAUUUACAGUAUAAAGUCCGAGGGAUACAUGGUAUGGCCAUGAACUUGGACUGUUGGAGCGGAACUCCUGUACUGGCUAAAACUUGACCUGAAAUUGGUUUCGCGAAUUUGGGUGGAGCGUUCGAGCAGAGACGCAGAAAUGGGACUGGGUUUUGCUGUCUCCGAGCGAUGACUUUAAACGGUGAAAUCUGGUGAACACGCCCUUAACAAAAUUAUAUCGUCGCUGUCUUUAACUCGCGGGAGAACUCAGAAAACCUGUGAAUUGUUUGCACAAUACUUAUUAUACGAAUGCCAGAAACAACACGCAGUUGUUGUCGCUCGUCGUCGGAUUUGUUGAGCUCUUAUGUACAGGUGCCUUGGGCUUUCCCUUCGGCCAGAACAGAAGUUUUAAGGUUUGCAACACGAUCUUUCCAGGCUCGAGCAAGAGCAAUCUGCCAUAGCAUAAUUCGAUUGGUCUAUUCUUUCCGGACGCUUGAUGGGUAUUCUCCUCCGAUAAAAGAACGAAGUGGAAAGCACCUACUUGGAUGCGACAUAUUAUGUCAAUUAAUUCGAGUCCCUCUAUCCUGAAGAGCCAGUUUCUGUUUCCUCACUAGCAAUUCAAUUUCAAGCUGAAAAGAAUUGAGUGGUUGUCCCAAUAAGAGGUUACAGUAUCCGAACCGACUUCUACUUAA